rnacentral:sRNA from 1 species
UUGCUGGUUGAGUAUCCUUACGGGCUUUUCAACCGGUUUUCUUUUAACCCUAUAAAAUAGGAGAUGUGUUAGUGGCCCGUAUAGCUGGCAUUAACAUCCCUGAU